UCGGGAAUUUUGGGCAAUGGGUGAAAGCCUGACCCAGCAACGCCGCGUGAAGGAUGAAGUAUUUCGGUAUGUAAACUUCGAAAGAAUAGGAAGAAUAAAUGACGGUACUAUUUAUAAGGUCCGGCUAACUACGUGCCAGCAGCCGCGGUAAUACGUAGGGACCAAGCGUUGUUCGGAUUUACUGGGCGUAAAGCGUACGUAGGCGGUUAUUCAAGUCAGAGGUGAAAGCCUGGAGCUCAACUCCAGAACUGCCUUUGAAACUAGAUAGCUAGAAUCACGGAGAGGUGAGUGGAAUUCCGAGUGUAGAGGUGAAAUUCGUAGAUAUUCGGAAGAACACCAGUGGCGAAGGCGGCUCACUGGACGUGUAUUGACGCUGAGGUACGAAAGCGUGGGGAGCAAACAGGAUUAGAUACCCCAGUAGUCCCUGAGCGGGCUGGCAAGGCGCAU
rnacentral:rRNA from 1 species